UCGAUCCUGGAACUCAAGUCUGGAGGAGCUCCCUCAGACAUCUUCCUUGAGAAGGUCAUGUGAAUUGCUGAAGUCCAGUAGUAAUAACAAAAAGAAGAUGACUGGUGAUGGCUUGGGAUGCAGUGGAAGAUUGAAAAAUACUAUGGCAUCUUUGACGUGUGGCCAUGUGGAUGGAGGCAUUCACUGCUGGCAGUCUUGUGAUGUUUUCCUGGCAGGAUGGGACACCCUAGACUCAGCUGGUAGCAAGAGGAAAAUGCUGCCAGGACCCACUAGCCAUGAAGUCCUUCAAAUACCAGUUAUAGAUUGAUGGCUAAAUUCGGAGAGAUUCUUCAUUCAAGGGCUGGCCAUAAGAUGAUUGAUUUUGAGGGACAUAACUCACAGAGACUAUCUAUUAAUAAAAGGGUUACAUCCUAUAUUGAUGCCUCCA
rnacentral:lncRNA from 1 species